rnacentral:rRNA from 1 species
ACCAAGGAGUCUAACAUAUUUGCAAGUUAUUGGGUAAAAUGAAAAAAGUUUACCUAAUAGCAUAAUUAAUAUAACUUUUUUCCUUAAUAUAUGUAUAUAUAUAUAUAUAUAUGUUGGGAAAAAUGGGAUUAAUUUUUAGAAUAGUAUCGUUGAUGUACUUUUCUUUAAUUUUUUUUUAAAAAGAAAAAGGAGAAAAUUAUAUUUAUCAGAGAGAGAAAUUCUAUUAUUUUAAUCCCGGGGCGUUCUUUAUUAAUAAUAUAGUUUUAUGUGUGCAUAUAUAAAUAAUUUUAUUUAUUUUGCCUCUAAAAUCCUAUAUUUAAGAGCGUACCUUGAGCAUAUAUGCUAUGACCCGAAAGAUAGUGAACUAUGCUUGCUCAGGUUGAAGUCAGGGGAAACCCUGAUGGAGGACCGAAACAGUUCUGACGUGCAAAUCGAUUGUCAGAAUUGAGUAUAGGGGCGAAAGACCAAUCGAACCAUCUAGUAGCUGGUUCCCUCCGAAGUUUCCCUCAGGAUAGCUGGUGCAUAAUAAAAAUAAUCUUAUCUGGUAAAGCGAAUGAUUAGAGGCCUUAGGGUCGAAACGACCUUAACCUAUUCUCAAACUUUAAAUGGGUAGGAACCUCACCUUUCUUGGCACGAAGGUUGUGGUUAUGAUAUCAAUGUGCCCAGUGGGCCACUUUUGGUAAGCAGAACUGGCGCUGUGGGAUGAACCAAACGUAAUGUUGCGGUGCCCAAAUUAAUAACUUAUACAGAUACCAUGAAAGGCGUUGGUUGCUUAAAACAGCAGGACGGUGGACAUGGAAGUCGUAAUCCGCUAAGGAGUGUGUAAUAACUCACCUGCCGAAGCAACUAGCCCUUAAAAUGGAUGGCGCUUAAGUUGUGUACCUAUACAUUACCGCUAAAGUAAAUGGCUUAUUUUAUGUUCAAGUCUUUUAUGAUUUGAAUUUUUUAUUAUAAGUUUUGAAACUUUAGUGAGUAGGAGGGUACUAUGGUGUGCUCUGAAGUGUUUGGCGUGAGCCUGCAUGGAGCCGCCAUUGGUACAGAUCUUGGUGGUAGUAGCAAAUAAUCGAAUGAGACCUUGGAGGACUGAAGUGGAGAAGGGUUUCGUGUGAACAGUGGUUGAUCACGAGUUAGUCGGUCCUAAGUUCAAGGCGAAAGCUAAGAAAUUUUCAAAUUAUAUUAGAAAAAGAUAUAUAUAAUAUUGAGAAAUUAUUAAUAUAUCAAAAAAAAAAAAUUAUACUAUUAGUUAAAUAUUUGAAAAGUUCUUUGAACGAAAGGGAAUACGGUUCCAAUUCCGUAACUUGUUGAGUAUCCGUUUGUUAAUAAAUAUGGGCCUUGUGCUCAUCCUGGCAACAGGAACGACCAUAAAGAAGCCGUCGAGAGAUAUCGGAAGAGUUUUCUUUUCUGUUUUAUAGUCAUACUGCCAUGGAAGUCUUUCGAAGAGAGAUAUGGUAGGUGGGCUAGAAGAGCAUGACAUUUACUGUUGUGUCGAUAUUUUCUCUUCGGACCUUGAAAAUUUAUGGUGGGGUCACGCAAACUUCUCAACAAGCCGUACCAAUAUCCGCAGCUGGUCUCCAAGGUGAAGAGUCUCUAGUCGAUAGAAUA